GCUAAGAUUUUUAUGUGGUGCUCAGACAUCAGGCGUUUGUCAUCCACGGACCCUUUAUAAAUGGCGAAUCCCCCUGGCACAGUCACCAGUCCUUUCCUGACGAAGCAGAACGAGAGAUUUCAACUUCUCGUAGCUCCAGCUUGUCUGUGGUGUGACUAGUAUUCCAGAAAUGGCUCGCCUCGCCGUAAUUUUGUUUGUCUCUGUUCUCGUAGUUUACGCUCUUGCUGACGAUCGGGCCCUUAAAGGUGAGGCCCUUGCUAACCGUCGGGACCUUGAAGGUGAGGCCCUUGGAGGUUGGGCCCUUGGAGGUUGGGCCCUUGCUAACCG